rnacentral:rRNA from 1 species
AACGAACGCUGGCGGCAUGCCUAACACAUGCGAGUCGAACGAGACCUUCGGGUCUAGUGGCGCACGGGUGCGUAACGCGUGGGAACCUGCCCUUAGGCUCGGGAUACCUCCCCUACGGGGGUGCUAAUGCAAGAUAAUGUCUUCGAAUCAAGCAUUUAUCGCCUUUGGGUGGGCCCGCGUUGGAUUAGCUUGUGGGUAGGGUAAAAGCCUACCAAGGCUUGGAUCCAUAGCUGGGCUGAGAGGAUGCACAGCCACUCUGGGACUGAGACACGGCCCAGAAUACUACGGGAGGCAGCAGUGGGGAAUAUUGGACAAUGGGCGAAGGCCUGAUCCAGCUAGGCCGGGUGAGUGAUGAAGGUCUGAGGGUUGUAAAGCUCUUUUACCCGGGAUGAUAAUGACAGUACCGGGAGAAUAAGCACCGGCUAACUCCGUG